rnacentral:rRNA from 1 species
UUAUGCUAGAAAGAGCGCAGGGUGGAUGCCUUGGCACUAAGAGCCGAUGAAAGACGUGAUAAGCUGCGAAAAGCUUCGGGGAGUGGCAAAUACACUUUGAUCCGGAGAUCUCUGAAUGGGGAAACCUGGCUGAGCAAACCUCAGUCGUCGUAUGGUGAAUACAUAGCCAUGCGUCGGGAACCUGGUGAACUGAAACAUCUAAGUAGCCAGAGGAAAAGAAAACAACAUGUGAUUUCCAAAGUAGCGGCGAGCGAAAUGGAAAGAGGCCAAACCGGCGUGCGUGCAUGCCGGGGUUCGGACCGCGGAAUUGAUUCAGUGAGUUUAAUGGAAAGGUUUUGGGAAAGCCUGCCAAAGAGGGUGAAAGCCCCGUACAUGAAAGACGAGCUGACAUGGCGGUAUCCAGAGUACCACGAGACACGAGAAACCUUGUGGGAACACGCGGGGACCACCCCGUAAGCCUAAAUACUCCUUAGUGACCGAUAGCGCAUAGUACUGUGAAGGAACGGUGAAAAGAACCCCGGGAGGGGAGUGAAAGAGAACCUGAAACCCUGUGUUUACAAGCUGUGGAAGAGCUUUACAUGCUCAACCGCGUACUUUUUGUAGAACGGUCCGGCGAGUUACUCUUACUGGCAAGGUUAAGCACCAAAGGUGUGGAGCCGAAGGGAAACCAAGUCUUAACAGGGCGAGUUAGUCAGUGUGAGUAGACCCGAAACCGGGUGACCUACCCAUGUCCAGGAUGAAGUUGCCGUAAAAGGCAAUGGAGGUCCGAACACACAUCCGUUGAAAAGGGUGGUGAUGAGGUGUGGGUAGCGGAGAAAUUCCAAUCGAACCCGGAGAUAGCUGGUUCUCCUCGAAAUAGCUUUAGGGCUAGCCUCAAUUUAGUCUUGCGGAGGUAGAGCACUGAAUAUCCUAGGGGGCGUCAAAGCUUACCGAAGAUUAUCAAACUCCGAAUGCCGUAAAGAUGAUGUAUGGGAGUCAGACUGCACGAGAUAAGUUGGGUAGUCAAAAGGGAAAGAGCCCAGACCUACAGCUAAGGUCCCAAAGUACGUGUUAAGUGGAAAAGGAUGUGGGAUUUCGAAGACAACUAGGAUGUUGGCUCAGAAGCAGCCAUACAUUCAAAGAGUGCGUAAUAGCUCACUAGUCGAGAGGUCCUGCGCCGAAAAUGUCCGGGGCUGAAACACGACACCGAAGCUUAGGAAUCGAAAGAUUGGUAGAGGAGCAUUGAAUACGGAACGAAGCAGUACCGGAAGGAGCUGUGGACUGUAUUGAAGAGAGAAUGCCGGAAUGAGUAGCGAGAUUUAAGUGAGAAUCUUAAAGGCCGAAUAUCUAAGGUUUCCAGGGUAAAGCUGAUCUUCCCUGGGUAAGUCGGGGCCUAAGGCGAGGACGAAAGUCGUAGUCGAUGGAUAACAGGUUGAAAUUCCUGUACCGCAUAUAUUCAGAAAUGUGGGGACACAGAUGGAGAGUACAGCCCGGGAAUGGAUAGACCGGGGCAAGCGAGGUAGGAGAAUGGCAGGCAAAUCCACCAUUCAAUCUGAAGACGUGACGCGUACCGAACAAGAGUAGGGAAGUGUAUGAGCCAGCUGUCGAGAAAAGCCGCUAUUGUGAUAUAUGUGCCCGUACCGUAAACCGACACAGGUGGAUGAGGAGAGAAUCCUAAGGCCGGCGGGAGAAGUGUUGUUAAGGAACUCGGCAAAAUGACCCCGUAACUUCGGGAGAAGGGGUGCCUCGGAAGAGGCCGCAGAGAAAUGGCCCAAGCAACUGUUUAGCAAAAACAUAGGUCUAUGCAAAACCGAAAGGUGAGGUAUAUGGGCUGACGCCUGCCCGGUGCUGGAAGGUUAAGAGGAGAGCUUAGCGCAAGCGAAGGUUUGAAUUUAAGCCCCAGUAAACGGCGGCCGUAACUAUAACGGUCCUAAGGUAGCGAAAUUCCUUGUCGGGUAAGUU